rnacentral:lncRNA from 1 species
GGUGUUGUGAGAGGAGAAUAGAGUGAGCCUUUGUGGCGUCUCUACCUUUGUGGUAGAGCACUCCUACAAACGGAGACAUACACCUAUCCCAAAAAUUCGAACUCCGGUCGAAUCUUCGUUUCUCGUGUGGUAUCAGUUCUUACCCUUUACAUUCUUGUAUGCUUAUCGUUAUCUUGUUGCUUCGGCUAUUGCACUUCAUACUAGGGUUGCAUUACCUUUAGAGAAUCCAGUAAACCCUAGGAUUAAGUGUUUGUAUCUUUCUAGAAAAGAAAAAGAAAAAGUAAAAUUGUUAGUCGCCUAUUCACCCCCCCUCUAGCCGACCAUACCGAUCUUUCACCGACGCCUUGAAGCACAUAGCAGAGCAACCUUGCAGCAGCGAUGCCAGCAGUU